GCGGCCGGAAGCGGAGGCCCCGGAGGCUCUGGACUCUGGAGCGCUAACGGCUCCUGCUUUUCCUCCUGAGUUGUACGGCGGCCGCGAGGGGCCAGCCAGCGCGCGCGGUGCUGGAGUGAGCGGGCCGAGCGGGGAGGCUGCGGCUCCGCGCGGGGCUGCAUUUUCACCCCUAACUGUACAGAGGUCUGGAAACAACAAUGCUUUGUAACUUCUCAGUGGUUCUGGGGACCUUGACAUCUCUUCUCCAUCCUUAUCACUGAGAUAACUGCCAUCGAAGUUAUGCUGCCAGGACUUUCCUUUGUGUUGGCUGCCCAGGGUGGAGGGAGAAAGUAACAAAUUCAUGUCUUGCAAGACAGUGAUGGCUUUUUCUUUAGAAUUUGAAUAUGGAGGCCACAGGGACAGAUGAAGUGGAAAAGCUAAAAUCCAAGUUUAUGUCUGCAUGGCACAACAUGAAAUACAGUUGGGUAUUGAAAACAAAAACUUACUUUAGCAGAAAUUCUGCUGUCUUCUUGCUGGGAAAAUGUUACCAUUUCAAGUCUGAUGAACCCAGUGAACUCUCUCCAGAUGGAUCCUGCUUGGAUAUAGUCGACAAAGUCAUUUCUGGAAACGUAGAAGAGUUUCGUAAAGAUUUUAUUUCUAGAAUAUGGUUGACUUACAGAGAGGAUUUUCCUCAGAUAAAAGAAUCUGCUUUCACAACAGACUGCGGUUGGAGUUGUACACUGAGAACUGGCCAGAUGCUGCUAGCUCAAGGGCUUGUGCUUCAUUUUCUUGGUAGAGACUGGACCUGGCCGGGUGCACUGAACAUUGAAAAUUCAGACUCUGAAUCAUGGACAAGCCACACAGUAAAAAAGCUGACUGCAUCAUUUGAAGCAUCACUUACGGGGGAGAGAGAACCCAAGGUCCUGUCAAACGAUCAUAAGGAAGCACUAAAGAGAGACUGUGAUGACAGUGAAAUGAGAGAUGAAGUUUAUCAUAGAAAAAUAAUCUCUUGGUUUGGAGAUUCUCCACCCGCAUCUUUUGGCUUGCAUCAGCUAAUAGAAUAUGGAAAGAAGUCUGGGAAAACAGCUGGAGACUGGUAUGGGCCUGCUGUAGUAGCACACAUUUUAAGAAAAGCUGUUGAAGAAGCAAGAGACCCUGAGUUACAAGGGAUAACUGUCUACGUUGCUCAGGACUGUACAGUUUACAGUUUGGAUGUUGUUGAUAGACAGUGCUCUUCUAUGGGCUCUGAAAAAGCAGAUAUGAAAGCUGUAAUUAUAUUAGUUCCUGUAAGACUUGGUGGAGAGAGAACCAACAUGGACUACUUGGAGUUUGUAAAGGGAAUUUUGAGUCUUGAAUACUGUGUCGGUGUUAUUGGUGGGAAACCUAAGCAGUCAUAUUACUUUGCAGGAUUUCAAGAUGACAGUUUGAUUUACAUGGAUCCUCAUUACUGCCAAUCUUUUGUAGAUGUCAGCAUAAAGGAUUUCCCUCUUGAGGUAGUGUGGAUAAAGAGCUGUCAUUUCACUGUCCUUCCCCCAAAAAGAUGUCAUUCAAAAACAUGGAUCCUAGCUGUACAAUAGGAUUUUAUUGUAGAAACAUGCAAGACUUUGAAAGAAUUUCUGAAGAAAUAACUAAGGUUCUGAUGUACUAGCCCAAUUCUUUUCUGUUUCGCUUUAAACUGAUACAGAGAAGUGAUUCAGCAAGAGGGAUAUUUUUGAUUAAAUGGACCUUGUUGCACAGGAAAAAUCUGGACAAGUUGCUGCCUGUUUCUUCAACCUCCUCCUUCACAACAAGAUGCUGUUUCUCCAGCAAAGUACACUGCAAGGUACACACCAAGGACAUACCUCUUUCCCCCUCUGUGGAAAAGUUCUGUUUCAGUGCUGUUUCCUUGUUCACAGAUUUCUGCAUUGUUGAGAAUGUCAUUCUGUAAAAACUGCACCAGACCAAACGACUCAAAGACAGAUUUUGGCAUCAUGCAUCCCAGCUUAACAUGUCUGCCAACGGGGUUAUAAUGUUCUGACUGUUUCUUGGACCACUGGCAAAUAUUUAUAUGGCACUAUAAUAUAUCAGAUCUAUAUGGUGAUUGUGAAGAGGUGUCAAUAUUUGCAUAUUAAGCCACGAUGUAAAUAUUUUUAAUGGUUCCUAGGGUAGAAUAGCAGAAAUAGUCUAACCCCGGGUUGAGUCCCCAGCGCACUUUGGAGUUCCCUUAGACAAAACCCAUUCACAUGGGAAGGGGUUAAUUUUACCCUUGCAAUAUUUUGAAAAGUAAAAUAAAUAGUCAGAGGAUUUAUUCUAGUAUAAUAACUGAAGGGGACUGAUGGUCUUGGGAAUACAAAUGUGAACUAAAUGAGAUGCUGGAAGGUUCUAUAUCUAUAUUUGGGGGCUACAUAGUAAUAUAUUUGCAUAUUACACAGUACAUGAUUUUUUGCAUGUUUAAUGCUUGAAACAAAUAUUUCUUAACUGAUCAAAUAUGUUGUGCUUGCUCUUUAUUAGCUGCAGGUUGCAGGACAUCUUUGACGUAAGA